rnacentral:rRNA from 1 species
GACGAACGCUGGCGGCGUGCCUAAUACAUGCAAGUAGAACGCACAGUUUAUACCGUAGCUUGCUACACCAUAGACUGUGAGUUGCGAACGGGUGAGUAACGCGUAGGUAACCUGCCUGGUAGCGGGGGAUAACUAUUGGAAACGAUAGCUAAUACCGCAUAAUAUUGAUUAUUGCAUGAUAAUUGAUUGAAAGAUGCUAUUGCAUCACUACCAGAUGGACCUGCGUUGUAUUAGCUAGUAGGUGAGGUAACGGCUCACCUAGGCGACGAUACAUAGCCGACCUGAGAGGGUGAGCGGCCACACUGGGACUGAGACACGGCCCAGACUCCUACGGGAGGCAGCAGUAGGGAAUCUUCGGCAAUGGACGAAAGUCUGACCGAGCAACGCCGCGUGAGUGAAGAAGGUUUUCGGAUCGGAAAGCUCUGUUGUAAGAGAAGAACGGGUGUGAGAGUGGAAAGUUCACACUGUGACGGUAGCUUACCAGAAAGGGACGGCUAACUACGUG